rnacentral:rRNA from 1 species
CAGUCGCCGCGGGAAUACGUAGGGUGCGAGCGUUAAUCGGAAUUACUGGGCGUAAAGCGUGCGCAGGCGGUUCGUUAAGACAGAUGUGAAAUCCCCGUGCUUAACCUGGGAAUUGCAUUUGUGACUGGCGAGCUAGAGUAUGGCAGAGGGGGGUAGAAUUCCACGUGUAGCAGUGAAAUGCGUAGAGAUGUGGAGGAAUACCGAUGGCGAAGGCAGCCCCCUGGGCCAAUACUGACGCUCAUGCACGAAAGCGUGGGGAGCAAACAGGAUUAGAUACCCCCGUAGUCCCUGUCUCUUAUAC